CACUUUCCCCAGGCAAAGGUGUCACCUGGCCCAAUCCCCCUCCUGGCUCAGGUAUCACCCCCUGCUCUCCCAUCCCCCAUGCAGACAGUCCCAGGUCAAUCCGCCCCCCGCUCCCUCCCGCGUCACACCCCACUGUACAGCUGAGGGGCAGGGAGAGGACGUGACCUGCCCAGGCAGGGACUCUGUGGCAGAGCAGGGUCUUGAACCCCGUUCUCCUGAGGGUGAUACCAAUUCUGUAACCGCAAGGCCAGCCUGCUCCACCCGUUGUGCAGCUCAUCACUGGGGGUUCACAUCCGCUACUGGGCACAUUCCUGACUUCCCAACAGCUGCUUUGUCUAGAGAUUUUAAAAUGUUCUUUCUAGGCUUAUUCCAGGGUCUGUUCAGUCCCCUGUGACCGUCAGCAAAGCUCCCCGUGAGGAGCUCAGCGUCUGUGUGUGUGUUUGCUUUGUUGCAGCCCGAUUGUGCAGAAAAUCCGCCACGACUGCGCUGAGCCCUUCACUGCAUUUGAACAGUGCUUGAAACAGAACCAGGCCUCCGUGGUGAACUGCACCGAACACGUCAACGAGUUCCUGCUCUGCGCUGAGCAGGUGAAGCUAAUGACUUAAGGGGACACUGAGAACCUUCACCUUCAGGAAUGAGACAGGCUUUCCCAGCUGUGAAGCCUCCUUCUUAUGGUUCCUGGCAGAAAAUACAGAAUGAUACGAGUCCCUGUGCUCUGGCUUUCAUCAGUUUCCGGUCACAUGCACCUGAACAGUUGGAUUCGCAGCAGGACAUCGGAAUCUGUCAGCAUUUGUCAGUAUGCUGUUAGUGCCGCCUCUUGUCUCUGCUGGUCGCACAGCCCUGGACAGCACCAUUAAUUAAUAAGCUACAGACACUGUAUUAAAAUUACAAUAAAGGCUCGACUCUGCACUGAAAUUGAGACCGAAGGCUGAAAUUGGUCCUUAACUUGUCCUGUUUACUGUAACAUGUAUUCUUUCCUACUCCCUGCAAUAUUUAGGCACAGUAUUUCUGCGCCCUAAUAAAAUAAUUCUUAAAGACUAAA